rfam:Picoides pubescens contig18681, whole genome shotgun sequence.
GCUGAGGAGUGAUGACAAUAAAAGGCCGAAUUGCAGUGCCUCCAGCAAACAGUUUGGUCUCCUGGGAGGCACAGUGACAAAAACCCUUCUGAAGCGAAUCAUAAGUCUGACCUCAGG